rnacentral:rRNA from 1 species
CUUAGAGUUUGAUCCUGGCUCAGGACGAACGCUGGCGGCGUGCUUAACACAUGCAAGUCGAGCGAUGAAACACCUUCGGGUGUGAAUUAGCGGCGAACGGGUGAGGAACACGUGAAGAAUCUGCCUUCAACUCUGGGAUAACUCCGGGAAACCGGGGCUAAUACCGGAUAUGAGCCUUGAUCGCAUGAUCGGGGCUGGAAAGUUUUUCGGUUGAAGAUGACUUCGCGGCCUAUCAGCUUGUUGGUGAGGUAAUGGUUCACCAAGGCGACGACGGGUAGCCGGCCUGAGAGGGCGACCGGCCACACUGGGACUGAGACACGGCCCAGACUCCUACGGGAGGCAGCAGUGGGGAAUAUUGGGCAAUGGAGGAAACUCUGACCCAGCGACGCCGCGUGAGGGAUGAAGGUCUUCGGGUUGUAAACCUCUUUCAGUAGGGAAGAAGCGAAAGUGACGGUACCUACAGAAGAAGCACCGGCUAACUAUGUGCCAGCAGCCGCGGUAAUACAUAGGGUGCAAGCGUUGUCCGGAAUUAUUGGGCGUAAAGAGCUCGUAGGUGGUUCGAUACGUCGGAUGUGAAAAUCAGGGGCUCAACCCCUGACUUGCAUCCGAUACGGUCGAGCUGGAGUUUGGUAGGGGAGACUGGAAUUCCUGAUGUAGCGGUGGAAUGCGCAGAUAUCAGGAGGAACAUCGAUGGCGAAGGCAGGUCUCUGGGCCAAUACUGACACUGAGGAGCGAAGCGUGGGAGCGAACAGGAUUAGAUACCCUGGUAGUCACGUCGUAGNCGGUGGGCGCUGCUUGUGCGAUCUUUCUACGGUUUGUGCGACGCAGCGACGCAUUAAGCGCUCCGCUGGGGAGUACGAUCG